rnacentral:rRNA from 1 species
UACGUAGGGUGCGAGCGUUGUCCGGAAUUAUUGGGCGUAAAGAGCUUGUAGGCGGUUUGUCGCGUCUGCUGUGAAAAUCCGGGGCUCAACCCCGGACUUGCAGUGGGUACGGGCAGACUAGAGUGUGGUAGGGGAGACUGGAAUUCCUGGUGUAGCGGUGAAAUGCGUAGAUAUCGAGAGGAACACCUGAGGUGAAGACGGGUUGCUGGGCCGACACUGACGCUGACAGCGCGAAAGCCAGGGGAGCAAACGGG